AGACAUCUAUCUGGCUCUACAAUGGCACCCCAGAAAGGCAGGGAGUGGUGAAUAAUUUAACAAUGGUACAGAAAAGCAUUUUGCACUUCAACAAAGCACAUAAAAAUGGAAUAACCUUUAGUUCAAAACAAAUUUCAUCUUAAAGCCAAUUCUCCUUAUUUCUUCUUACACUUUCAAAGCUGACUCCGCAAAACAAAAGCUGGAGGCUCUACUGUAGCUACUGAUCUCGGAGUUUCCAUGAAGCUAUUAUUGCAACCUGCGGUCCUGCAAUCAUUAGGGAUGACCAUCUCAGUGACAACAGGAGACUCAGAGGGCUAAGCAAAGUGGUGUGCACAUGAUACUGGAGACUGGAGAACCUGGGCAUGACAUUGCUCACCUGGGCACAGUGGCUGGGAACUCAGACUCUGUCUUUAACCAAUUGCAUUAAUGUUCUCUUCAGUCCACUCAUGGCUUUAGGACCUUGCUUCUGGACAUGGAGAAAGAUCAUCAACUUUAACUAUUCUUAUAACUUUAGAUAACAACAAGGAAGUUAUUUCUCCCAAAGAUGGAGCUGUCAUUCCUGCAGCUCAGCCUACUUCCACUCAGGUAAACGCAACAGAAUUCGAACAAGAACAGAAAUCUGUCUGAUAAGGCUCCCAUUGCCUUACCUCCAUUUCCCCCAGCAUCUCCCUUCCCAUGGGGUUUUCAAAGCAAUACCCUCUCUGUACUUGUGUAUACAGCUGGCUCACAGCACACGGAUGCCUGCACUGGGAUGUAAGCACGGCUGGAAGGUGCCUUAUCCCAAUGGCUUUUCUCGGUUAAGCCCCUGAGCGGAGCGGCAGGCAAUCAGUCCUCUCCCUGAACAAUGGCGGAAUCCUGGAGCCUGUUGUUUGAAAUGAGCAAAACUGCCUCCAUAUUUGUACCCACAACCAAAUGGAGGAGAAAAGCAUCCAGAAGAAAACUGAAAAAUUAGAACUCAUGUCCUCCCUUUUUGAAAAUACCAAAAAGAACUAGGAAGAAAGGAAUUUGUGCCUUUUUUAAAAAUGAGUUAUUUCAGAGAAUGGGAGAGGAAUGUACGUGCAACACACCUAUUCGCUCAUCUGUUAAUUUUUUAUUUUUAAAUCUCAAUCUGAGUUUUCCUUCAGUUGCUUUUUUAUUUUAAUUUUAUCUUAAAAAUAACUUUAAAAAAAUCUGUUCUCCUCAAAUAUCCAGUUUGUUAAAAGGACACAGGGCCCUUACCCAAAGGAAGCAACAUUUAUGUCACUGAUGGUUACUCGUCCCUGGACCAUUGAUGCUGAUGACAAUGAUAUAAUUUACAGCACAUUCCUACUAUAUUCUAGGCACUCAUUUUUCAAACAAAGCCAUGCCGUGUACCCUUGGCUAGCCUCCCCCUGAAUUCAUGGAGAACCCCUGUUUCAGCCUCUUUAUCUGCUGGGUGGACAGGUGUGAGUCAUGACACUAGUUACUGUUUUAAGAAUUUAAAAAAAUUAAUCUGAUCCUAAGAAAUUUACAUAUUAGGGACCAUCACCAAUUUUCCAGAAGAGGAAGCCGGGCUAAUCAAGAAGGCUGAACAACUCAGUCGGGUCACAUCUGCUAAAAUAGUUCGGUAGAAAUGAAAUUCAGGCAACCUGGUAACCACGGUGAAAAUCCCCAUUAAUAUUCUGAUGUUGCUAGGGUGUUAAUUUAUCACCUAAUUUAAGAUUAAUGCUCAAUUUGCGAUACUUUUAUUAAAAUUGUGUGAGGCGUGAA